CUGAUACAUAAUCAGGUUUACAGGGCUACCAUCAGAAAUUUUAGGGACAUUUUUACACAGCUGAAGACAUGGGUCCCCAGAGUCCACUCCCAAGUCAGACCACAUUUGAUUACGCACACUGGACCAGCUCAAAGUCUGCCCACCGUGCCCACACCCAUUCCACCACGAUCUCCCAGGCACUUAGAACUGCAAUCCAUUGCUCCUGUCCCGCCUGCUGGAUGUAUUGUGUGUGAGUAUAGGAGUUGUAGUGGUGGUGUGUGAAUGGAAUGUAUUUGUGCAGGGAAUGUAGCAAGUGUUUGCAGGGCAUGUAAAGUGUUUGUUUAGGGGAUCCGGUGUGUGUUAGCUUAUCUCCCAAGUAUCCCUAUUCAGGAGGGACAGUCCCUAUUUUGGUUCCUAAUCCCUUUGUUCCUCUUUUCUAUCCUAAUGUCCAUCUUUUCUAGAAGCUCCAUAUUGUUAGUGUGUGUGAGUAUAUAACAGAGCUCCAAAGCAAUAAUACUCACACUAAUAUGUCUUACAACUACAUUACAUGUGGUUAGAAAUCAGUCUGUGUAACUAAGAUAAAUUCUUCUUCUUCUAAAUUAUAUUUAGGUUGCUUAAUUU